AGUGAACUUCGUUUGCAGUGAAAAUCCUUUUUUAAGGCUUUUUCGGCCUUAAAAAAGAUUGUAACGAAAAGCCCGGCCCUUG
rnacentral:sRNA from 2 species